GAUGAACGCUGGCGGCGUGCCUAAUACAUGCCAGUCGAGCGAACAGGCGAGGAGCUUGCUCCUCUGACGUUAGCGGCGGACGGGUGAGUAACACGUGGAUAACCUACCUAUAAGACUGGGAUAACUUCGGGAAACCGGAGCUAAUACCGGAUAAUAUAUUGAACCGCAUGGUUCAAUAGUGAAAGACGGUUUUGCUGUCACUUAUAGAUGGAUCCGCGCCGCAUUAGCUAGUUGGUAAGGUAACGGCUUGCCAAGGCAACGAUGCGUAGCCGACCUGAGAGAGUGAUAGGCGACACUGGAACUGAGACACGGACCAGACUACUAAGGGAGAGAGCAGAAGGGAAUGUUACGCAAUGGGCGAAAGCAUGACGGAGCAACGGCGAGUGAGAGAUGAAGGUCUUCGGAGCGUAAAAAUCUGUUAUGAGGGAAGAACAAAUGUGUAAGUAACUAUGCACGUCGUGACGGUACCUAAUCAGAAAGCCACGGCUAACUACGUG
rnacentral:rRNA from 1 species